UAAAAUUGAAUAUUAAGUAUUUAUGGAAUUUUUAUUUACAGUUGGGUGACUUAUGUGUACACGUAUGUAUAUGUAUAUAUGUAUAUAUGUAUAUAUGUAUAUAUAUAUAUAUAUGUAUAUGUAUAUAUAUAUAUAUAUAUAUAUAUAUAUAUAUAUAUAUAUAUAUAUACGUAUUUAUAAAUAAAUUGACAUACACACACACACAUAAAAUACAAAAUGGGACAAGAGCGCAAAACAUCUAGACAGUUAAUAUAUAUAUAUAUAUUAUUAAUAUAUAUAUAUAUGCAUAUAUAUAUAUAUAUAUAUACACAUAUAUAUACAUAUAUGUUGAUAGAUAGAUAGAUAUAUAUACACAUAUACAUAUAUACAUAUACCUAUAUAUACAUAUAUACAUAUAUACACAUUCAUAUAUAUAUAUAUAUAUAUAUAUAUAUAUAUAUAUAUAUAUAUAUAUAUGUAUGUAUGUAAAUAUACAUACAUACAGCUAUCUUGCUAUCAAUCAAUAUACUGAUUGGUAACGUUUAUGUGUGUACAGAACACGUGGCCUCGAAAGUAGAGUGUCGAAUCCCUAGCGAACUGUGUGUUGUUUUCUUCAGCAAAGCACUUCAUUUGGUUUGCUCUGCAUACAUAUAUGCAUAUUUACACACACACACACACACACAAACACACACACACACACACACACACACACACACACACACACACACACACACACACACACACACACACACACAUAUAUAUAUGAUAUAUAUGGGGUAUAUAUGCCUGGUGUUUAGCAUGAAGCACUUCCACAGAUAUCGGCAUUCAGCGCAUUUAAAAAUCGGGAGCUUUUCCACACAACUACUCCAAUAUUCGAAUUUUGAGUAAAUCCCAAAAUAUCCAUAGAUUAUUUGUAAGGAUAAGAAUCAAAGAAUGAAGUUAGCUAGUCAUCUUGAAGUAUUAAAAGGAUUUGCUAACUGCUCUCCUUUCUUUGCAUUCUGAUAUAUAAAUAUAUAUAAUAUAUAUAUAUAUAUAUAUAUAUAUAUAUAUAUAUAUAUACAUGCACACAUGUAGAUAGACAGACAGAUAGAUAGAUAGAUAGAUAGAUAGAUAGAUAGAUAGAUAGAUAGAUAGAUAGAUAGAUAGAUAGAUAGAUAGAUAGAUAGAUAGACAUAUAUGUAAAUGUAUGUAUAUAUGUGUGUAUGUAUGUAUGUAUAAUAUAAAUGAAUUCAUUUCAUUCUCUUUUCAGACACUCGUUACAAUCCAAGAUCCAUAUGGAAGCAUUCCCACGGAUUAAAUUAUUCUUCAAGUCACGUGAUCAAUAACCAAUAUAAUGAUUUCUGGUAAUAAUAAAUAAAUACGUACGCACACAAAUAUAUAUUAAUAUUUUACAUAGAACCGGAC
rnacentral:lncRNA from 1 species